rnacentral:rRNA from 1 species
GGGCGAGUUGAAGGGGGCAACAGCUCAAAUUGAAAUCCGGCUCCGGCCCGAGUUGUAAUUUGCAGAAGGUGCUUCGGGCGAGGCGNCGGCGCAAGUCCCACGGAACUGGGCAUCGUAGAGGGUGAGAAUCCCGUACGUGCCGGCCGCCGAGCCCGGGUGAAGCCCUUUCGACGAGUCGAGUUGUUUGGGAAUGCAGCUCAAAGCGGGUGGUAAAUUUCAUCUAAAGCUAAAUAUCUGCCGGAGACCGAUAGCGCACAAGUAGAGUGAUCGAAAAGUGAAAAGUACUUUGAAAAGAGAGUGAAACAGUACGUGAAAUUGUUGAAAGGGAAGCGCUUGCAACCAGACUUGCCCGCGGGGGUUCAGCCGUCCCACGGGGCGGUGCACUCUCCCGCGGUCGGGCCAGCAUCGGUUCGGGCGGCCGGACAAAGGCCCCGGGAACGUAGCUCCUCCGGGAGCGUUAUAGCCCGGGGUGCAAUGCGGCCAGCCGGGACCGAGGACCGCGCUUUUGCUAGGAUGCUGGCGUAAUGGUUGCCAGCGACCCGUCUUGAAACACGGACCAAGGAGUCGACCGACUGCGCGAGUAUUUGGGUGUCAAACCCGGAUGCGCAAUGAAAGUGAACGGAGGUGGGAGCCUCGGCGCACCAUCGACCGAUCCUGAUAUUUAUGGAUGGAUUUGAGUACGAGCGUUGGCGGUCGGACCCGAAAGAUGGUGAUCUAAACGCGGAUAGGGUGAAGCCAGAGGAAACUCUGGUGGAGGCUCGCAGCGGUUCUGACGUGCAAAUCGAUCGUCAAAUCUGCGUUUAGGGGCGAAAGACUAAUCGAACCAUCUAGUAGCUGGUUCCGUCCGAAGUUUCCCCCAGGAUAGCAGCAGCGAAAAGCAGUCUCAUGAGGUAGAGCGAACGAUUAGAGGCCUGGGGAGUGAAACACUCUUCACCUAUUCUCGAACUUCGAAUAUGUGAGAAGUCCUUGUUACUUAGCUGAACGUGGACAUUGGAUGUACGCUGCUAGUGGGCCAUUUUUGGUAAGCAGGAACUGGCCGAA